rnacentral:rRNA from 1 species
AUUGAACGCUGGCGGCAGGCCUAACACAUGCAAGUCGAACGAGUGGCGGACGGGUGAGUAAUGUCUGGGAAACUGCCUGAUGGAGGGGGCUAACUACUGGAAACGGUAGCUAAUACUGCAUACCAUCAGAUGUGCCCAGAUGGGUUUCGCUUGUGGGUGGGGUAACGGCUCACCAGGGCGACGAGCCCUAGCUGGUCUGAGAGGAUGACCAGCAAAACUGGAACUGAGACACGGUCCAGAGUCCUACGGGAGGCAGCAGUGGGGAAUAUUGCACAAUGGGCGCAGGCCUGAAGCAGCCAUGCCGCGGGUAUGAAGAAGGCCUUCGGGUUGAAAAGUACUUUCAGCGGGGAGACGUUACCCGCAGAAGAAGCACCGGCUAACUCCGUGCCAGCCGCCGCGGUAAUC